CGCGCGGGGCGGGGGCGCGCGGCGGCCGCAGCGGCCUGUGGCGCCGUCACCCGGCAGACUCCGGAGGGUCGAGCACGGUGCCGGUGCCGCUGCCGCUGGCCAGGCGCGCGGGGACGUUUCGCGGGCUGCGCCGGUGGCGGCCCGCCUUCCCGGGGGUCCAGUUAUCAUGUCGCUGAGGCAGCGCCUGGCCCAACUGGCUGGCCGUCUGCAGGACCCGCAGAAAGUGGCCCGUUUCCAGCGGCUGUGCGGGGUGGAAGCGCCGCCGCGACGCUCAGCGGACCCGAGGGAGGAUGAGAAGGCGGAGGCGCCCCUCGCCGGAGACCCUUGUCUGCGAGGGCGGCAGCCAGGGGCGCCCGGAGGCCCCCAGCCACCCGGGAGCGACCGCAAUCAGUGCCCGGCCAAGCCGGACGGCGGCGGCGCCCCCAACGGCGUGCGGAACGGGCUGGCGGCCGAGCUGGGCCCGGCCUCGCCGCGGCGCGCUGGCGCCCUGCGCCGCAACUCGCUGACCGGCGAGGAGGGCCAGCUGGCCCGCGUGAGCAACUGGCCUCUCUACUACCUGUUCUGCUUCGGCGCGGAGCUGGGCAACGAACUCUUCUACAUCCUGUUCUUCCCCUUCUGGAUCUGGAACCUGGACCCCCUGGUGGGCCGGAGGCUCGUGGUCAUCUGGGUGCUGGUCAUGUACCUGGGCCAGUGCACCAAGGACAUCAUACGCUGGCCGCGGCCCGCCUCGCCGCCGGUGGUCAAGUUGGAGGUCUUCUACAACUCCGAGUACAGCAUGCCCUCCACCCAUGCCAUGUCCGGCACCGCCAUCCCCAUUUCUAUGGUCCUCCUCACCUAUGGCCGCUGGCAGGUAAGGGUUCCCGCUCCUCGUUCGGCUCAGCCUCGGGGGAGUUCAGAGAACUCGGAGUUCUCUUGGCUCUAUACAUUUAUUUUAAUUCGGCCGUUCCCCUCCAGAGCCUCUGUUUCCACAGGUUUUCACAGUACCCGCAAACAGGCCCUUUCUGGGUUUUGAAAAAUUAGGUGAUUGGGGGAAACUAGAGACUUAGCGGUUGAAUUCUAUUUUAAUAUUAAAUUCCAAAUUAAUACCUUUCUUGUAACCCAAAGGACACACGUUUCCUAGAGUAAUACAUUGUCAUUAGGCUUUGGUUGAAUUUUUAAACGGCUUUAAUUCUUGUGAUGCACAGUGGAAGUGAGUUUUUUUUAAAUAAUUAAUUGCUACGUAACUAACACCCACUUUCACCGUAAUAUAUGGUGCCUCCUCUAAAACCGAUUGUUUCAGAGAGGUAAAGUCGUUAGCUUUACUGUGAGACAGUGUUUACAAAACCUUAGUGUAAUCUCAAAACAAACAUGCUAGUUCCAAGCAAUGAAGUUAUCGAUUUUCAGCGAAAUCCCCUUUAUGGAAGUUAAUGGAGCACUGUGUGAGUUCUGUUUUUAAGGGGUGUGGUUGCCACUUUGCUGAUAAAUACAAAGUUUAAUUAUCUUCUGGAUCACUGAUCUGUAGUAUCUGUCCGUUGUUGAGCUGCAGCUGUAAUACUACAGUGUUAUUGCCUCAUUAACUAAAAAUACAUGACUUAAAAGUUAUUCUUAAAGAUAGGGCUCUUGAUCAGACUAGUGGGUUUAUAAAUAUGGCAAAUAUGACAGCAGGGUCAGCCUGGCAAUCAGGAAGACUUUUGUCUUUUUGGUUUUUUAACCCUAUCUGAAACCUCCCAAGGGAAGAGUUUUUAAUGGUAAUCGUUUUGAUUUUUCUUACACUUUUGGCCUUCUAUUGCGUAUCUGUCUUUUAAACUGUAAGAUUUGUUAAUCCUGCAAACCAGUACCUUAUUUUAAGAAUAAAGUGUGUAAUUAGGGAGACUCUAAGGAAACAGACUUCCAUUUUUCCCCUUUACUGCACAAAAUCAUUUUACAUUGAGAAAUAUACAUUCUGUGUAAAACUCCAUUGUGAUAAGCUUAGUUAUUCCACAUUGAAUUUCAGCGUAGAUAAAAUCUUGUCCCCAUGUAUACUUCCGUAUAGUGCAUCUCUUUUACAGUACAUGGAAAAUAUGCAUUGUGCAUAGUGACAAUGGCAGAGUUAGGAGUAAAGAGUACCAUGGGAAGUUUUUUCCUAUGUAACCAAAGGAACUCUACAGUGAUGUUCAGAUUAUGAAGCAGUGCUGCCUGUUUUGCAUGAUAGAUAAGUAUCUCAGAUGUUUCAUUUCAUCAAGAUAUUUCAGAAUUUAAGAUUUCUGGUGAGCUGUGUUUGGUCUGAUGAUGUUAGCUGAUGAUGUUCCUCUUAUUUUCAUGAGACUUUUAGGAUUCUGUAACAAUAGAGCCUUUAAUGAUGCCUUCUCAGUGAGUAGCUAUUUUGUAUGCUCUUAGUAUUAGAAAAGUAAGUGAACAUAGUUAUUUUUGCUCUUUAUUUGUUCAGGACACAUGCUAACUGGGAGUCUGAAAACAGUACUGCUGAAUCGUUUCUGGGAUAUUGAUAAUCUAACAUUUCAGGGUUAGUUGAAUUAUCAGAAUAAGCUUAGAGUUUUUAAACAACCUUGUAUGUUUAAAUCAAAGUUUAAGGAAUUUGUUUAUCAUACAAUUUUAGACUUUGAAGUAGACUGGAUGUUAGAAAUCACCUAGUUGAAAGCUGUCAUUUUACAGAUAUGCAAACCGACCAGUUACAUUGGAAUUAAUCUUGUAAUGGUUUACAUUUCUUAUUUUACAUUUUUUCACUCUAAAUUUGCAUAAUUAUUUUUUGGUUAGCUGUUCAGAAAACCUUU